AUUGAGCGCUGGCGGCGUGCUUAACACAUGCAAGUCGAUCGGUAACGCGGGGGCAACCCUGGCGACGAGAGGCGGACGGGUGAGGAACGCUUGGGAAUCUGCCUAUCAGCGGGGGACAACACGGGGAAACUCGUGCUAAUACCGCAUACGCUCUACGGAGGAAAGCCGGGGACCGCAAGGCCUGGCACUGAUAGAUGAGCCCAAGCCGGAUUAGCUAGUUGGCGGGGUAACGGCCCACCAAGGCGACGAUCCGUAGCUGGUCUGAGAGGACGAUCAGCCACACUGGGACUGAGACACGGCCCAGACUCCUACGGGAGGCAGCAGUGGGGAAUAUUGGACAAUGGGGGAAACCCUGAUCCAGCGACGCCGCGUGGGUGAAGAAGGCCUGCGGGUUGUAAAGCCCUUUCGGUAGGGACGAAAGCUCUCGACCUAACACGUCGGGAGGUUGACUUAACCUACAAAAGAAGCACCGGCUAACUCUGUGCCAGCCGCCGCGGUAAGAC
rnacentral:rRNA from 1 species